UUGGGAGGGGGCACAGCCAGAACAGCUGACUUGGACUAUCCAAAGGGACAUUCCAUACCAUGGGACGUCAUGCUCAGUAUAUAAACUGGGGGAGUUGGCUGGGGCGGGCUGAUCGCUGCGGAGGAUCUGGCUGGGCAUCAGUCAGCGGAUGAUUAAAAGAGGAAGGUGAGGCAUGAGACUGAUGCUCAGGUGCACGUCAUGCUUUGGCUGGCUUUGGAUCCCACCUACACAUCCUGGUGUUACUGAGUCAUCCUCCAGUCCAUAAAAGAACCUCCACUGUCCAAAGGAAAUGCUGAUAUGGAAUGUACCGAUAUCUGCGGAGCUCUUUCUCCUGGCUUUGGAAGACUUUAGAUCAUCCCUUAGGAAGCUGUUAAGAGUAGGAGGGUAGAGAAGUAGCACUGGCUACAGAUUGUCCUUUUGGCGUUGGAGAAGUAAUUGAAGAAUAUCCUAGGGAAUGUCAGAGCUCUGUAAUUCCCCAACCACUUCAUACCUAUCUGUGAAUCUGCUGCAUGGGCAAAAGAAUUAGGGAGGAUAAACCUCCUCCUUUUUUCUAAUCUUGUUCACUAACUAGUUUUCAGAUCUGCCAAGAUGUCUCGGUCUGGCUGGAUGGGAUAGAGGCAGAGCUGACCGUUCACACAGUGUUGGUGCAUUUGUUAAUGACUAAUGUCAUCCUGGCCAAGGGAUGGUUUGUUAACUCACAGACCUCAAAGCAGGUAUCUGUGCACUUUGAGUUUUAGGGACUGUAUAUAUGUGAAGGAAAAUUUGAUGCCUGUAAUUUACAUUUGCCACACUGGCUAUACCUCAGAGCUAACUCCAAGUACUUCAGAACGCAGCUCUCCUCCCAGCUCUCUUUGCUGCUGUGAGAUAUCAAAGCCUAAAAAAAUUAGGAAAUUCUUUUUGCAGCAACUUCAGAUACACUAAUUUUUUAGUCCCUAUGUUCACAAGCAGUCCUGAGAUAAUCGUUCAAUCACAUAUUUCUGACUUGCAAAAGUUUUUCUUUUUUGAAUGACUGUUAGAAGCGGAUGAAAGUUCAUUUGGAAUCCAUACACAUCCAUCCAUACA